rnacentral:rRNA from 1 species
GCGUCGAGCGGCGGACGGGUGAGUAAUGCCUGGGAAAUUGCCCUGAUGUGGGGGAUAACCAUUGGAAACGAUGGCUAAUACCGCAUAAUAGCUUCGGCUCAAAGAGGGGGACCUUCGGGCCUCUCGCGUCAGGAUAUGCCCAGGUGGGAUUAGCUAGUUGGUGAGGUAAUGGCUCACCAAGGCAACGAUCCCUAGCUGGUCUGAGAGGAUGAUCAGCCACACUGGAACUGAGACACGGUCCAGACUCCUACGGGAGGCAGCAGUGGGGAAUAUUGCACAAUGGGCGCAAGCCUGAUGCAGCCAUGCCGCGUGUGUGAAGAAGGCCUUCGGGUUGUAAAGCACUUUCAGUCGUGAGGAAGGUAGUGUAUUUAAUAGAUGCAUUAUUUGACGUUAGCGACAGAAGAAGCACCGGCUAACUCCGUGCCAGCAGCCGCGGUAAUACGGAGGGUGCGAGCGUUAAUCGGAAUUACUGGGCGUAAAGCGCAUGCAGGUGGAUGAUUAAGUCAGAUGUGAAAGCCCGGGGCUCAACCUCGGAAUAGCAUUUGAAACUGGUCAUCUAGAGUACUGUAGAGGGGGGUAGAAUUUCAGGUGUAGCGGUGAAAUGCGUAGAGAUCUGAAGGAAUACCGGUGGCGAAGGCGGCCCCCUGGACAGAUACUGACACUCAGAUGCGAAAGCGUGGGGAGCAAACAGGAUUAGAUACCCUGGUAGUCCACGCCGUAAACGAUGUCUACUUGGAGGUUGUGGCCUUGAGCCGUGGCUUUCGGAGCUAACGCGUUAAGUAGACCGCCUGGGGAGUACGGUCGCAAGAUUAAAACUCAAAUGAAUUGACGGGGGCCCGCACAAGCGGUGGAGCAUGUGGUUUAAUUCGAUGCAACGCGAAGAACCUUACCUACUCUUGACAUCCACAGAAGCUUGCGGAGACGCAGGUGUGCCUUCGGGAACUGUAAGACAGGUGCUGCAUGGCUGUCGUCAGCUCGUGUUGUGAAAUGUUGGGUUAAGUCCCGCAACGAGCGCAACCCUUAUCCUUGUUUGCCAGCACGUAAUGGUGGGAACUCCAGGGAGACUGCCGGUGAUAAACCGGAGGAAGGUGGGGACGACGUCAAGUCAUCAUGGCCCUUACGAGUAGGGCUACACACGUGCUACAAUGGCGCAUACAGAGGGCAGCCAACUUGCGAAAGUGAGCGAAUCCCAAAAAGUGCGUCGUAGUCCGGAUUGGAGUCUGCAACUCGACUCCAUGAAGUCGGAAUCGCUAGUAAUCGUGAAUCAGAAUGUCACGGUGAAUACGUUCCCGGGCCUUGUACACACCGCCC